ensembl:snRNA U1 U1 spliceosomal RNA
GUACUUAGCUGGCAGGGGAGAUACCAUGAUCACGAAGGUGGUUUUCCCAGGGCGAGGCUUAUCCAUUGCACUCCGGAUGUGCUGACCCCUGUGAUUUCCCAAAUGUGGGAAACUCGACUGCAUAAUUUGUGGUAGUGGGGGACUGCGUUCAUGCUUUCCCUUG